rnacentral:tRNA from 1 species
GGUGGGGUGGCCGAGUGGUUUAAGGCGGCAGUCUUGAAAACUGCUAUAUCUGAAAAGGUAUCGUGAGUUCGAAUCUCACCCCCACCG